UCCACCAUCCCCGGUUCAGCGGCUCCACCGCCCCCGGUUCAGCGGCUCCACCGCCCCCCGGUUCAGCGGCUCCUCCUGCGUGGCCCCCCGAGAGGCUCCCUGCUCUUACCGGGCGGCCCGGUGCCGUUCGCCCGCCCCCAGGCGUUAUCCCGGGGCCCACUCCAGCAGCUGUCACCGAGCCGGCCCGACAGCCAGCGAGGGACUCGCGGCACGACGAGCACUUGGGGAAUUUCUCUUGUGUCUCCUGGACCAGUUAUUUAUAGGAAUCUCCAAAUCCAUCCAGUCCAGCUGCCCUUGGACUGCACAGUGACCCUGUCCCGACCAGGGAUUCCUCAGCACCCCGGGAGCAGGACAUGCACCCUGUCCCCUCCCAGCUCCCAGUGCUCGGCAGACUGAAAAUACUCUGAACAGAAUGGGAGUGACACAUGAACCCACAGGGCACAGUGGAACAACCCCAGGCAGCUGCUGUCGGGCCAAACCCAGAUGAGGUGCUUUAUUCACUUCAUCUUUAUUUUUCACAAAGACUGUACAAAAUUCUUAUAAAACUCUGGUGUGGGGAUGGGCUAUGACAUUGAUCCAAAAAAUAAUUCCCAUGCAGUCCCACCAGUUCCAUAACUUACAAGGAAACAGAUAAGCUACAGAGAGCUGCGAGUCCUGGAGUAUUUACACCGAGGAGGGCAGGAACGGGAGACAAAGCAACACGAGAGGUAUUUACAGCACGGACACACAGGCCCCCUCACCUCACGAGAACGGCAGCAGCGACAGCAGGUCAGGCCCGUGGUGCUCCGAAGCCGACAGAGAAUCUGGGCUAUUUACAGUAUCUCACAUAUUAACAGCUUUACAAAUGUGUCCAGGAAGUUCAUCUCAUGUAUAAAAAAAAAAAA